AAAUUGAAGAGUUUGAUCAUGGCUCAGAUUGAACGCUGGCGGCAGGCCUAACACAUGCAAGUCGAGCGGUAGCACAGAGAGCUUGCUCUCGGGUGACGAGCGGCGGACGGGUGAGUAAUGUCUGGGAAACUGCCUGAUGGAGGGGGAUAACUACUGGAAACGGUAGCUAAUACCGCAUAACGUCGCAAGACCAAAGUGGGGGACCUUCGGGCCUCAUGCCAUCAGAUGUGCCCAGAUGGGAUUAGCUAGUAGGUGGGGUAACGGCUCACCUAGGCGACGAUCCCUAGCUGGUCUGAGAGGAUGACCAGCCACACUGGAACUGAGACACGGUCCAGACUCCUACGGGAGGCAGCAGUGGGGAAUAUUGCACAAUGGGCGCAAGCCUGAUGCAGCCAUGCCGCGUGUGUGAAGAANNNAGGCCUUCGGGUUGUAAAGCACUUUCAGCGGGGAGGAAGGCGAUAAGGUUAAUAACCUUAUCGAUUGACGUUACCCGCAGAAGAAGCACCGGCUAACUCCGUGCCAGCAGCCGCGGUAAUACGGAGGGUGCAAGCGUUAAUCGGAAUUACUGGGCGUAAAGCGCACGCAGGCGGUCUGUCAAGUCGGAUGUGAAAUCCCCGGGCUCAACCUGGGAACUGCAUUCGAAACUGGCAGGCUAGAGUCUUGUAGAGGGGGGUAGAAUUCCAGGUGUAGCGGUGAAAUGCGUAGAGAUCUGGAGGAAUACCGGUGGCGAAGGCGGCCCCCUGGACAAAGACUGACGCUCAGGUGCGAAAGCGUGGGGAGCAAACAGGAUUAGAUACCCUGGUAGUCCACGCCGUAAACGAUGUCGAUUUGGAGGUUGUGCCCUUGAGGCGUGGCUUCCGGAGCUAACGCGUUAAAUCGACCGCCUGGGGAGUACGGCCGCAAGGUUAAAACUCAAAUGAAUUGACGGGGGCCCGCACAAGCGGUGGAGCAUGUGGUUUAAUUCGAUGCAACGCGAAGAACCUUACCUGGUCUUGACAUCCACAGAACUUAGCAGAGAUGCUUUGGUGCCUUCGGGAACUGUGAGACAGGUGCUGCAUGGCUGUCGUCAGCUCGUGUUGUGAAAUGUUGGGUUAAGUCCCGCAACGAGCGCAACCCUUAUCCUUUGUUGCCAGCGGUUAGGCCGGGAACUCAAAGGAGACUGCCAGUGAUAAACUGGAGGAAGGUGGGGAUGACGUCAAGUCAUCAUGGCCCUUACGACCAGGGCUACACACGUGCUACAAUGGCAUAUACAAAGAGAAGCGACCUCGCGAGAGCAAGCGGACCUCAUAAAGUAUGUCGUAGUCCGGAUUGGAGUCUGCAACUCGACUCCAUGAAGUCGGAAUCGCUAGUAAUCGUAGAUCAGAAUGCUACGGUGAAUACGUUCCCGGGCCUUGUACACACCGCCCGUCACACCAUGGGAGUGGGUUGCAAAAGAAGUAGGUAGCUUAACCUUCGGGAGGGCGCUUACCACUUUGUGAUUCAUGACUGGGGUGAAGUCGUAACAAGGUAACCGUAGGGGAACCUGCGGUUGGAUCACCUCCUUACCUUAAAGAA
rnacentral:rRNA from 1 species